rnacentral:lncRNA from 1 species
CCAGAAACUAAAGUAUACUGGCUGGACAGGGGGAAUUUUCUGCUAUAGUUCCACAGUAGUGCUGCUAUGGUUUACUUCUAAAACAUCCUCAGAAGUCUCAAGUGUUUGGAAGGAAAGGUGUUCCAAGGACAACAUGGAAUGCAACUUCUCCCUACAUUCAGAGCUGCCACGCUAAAGGUAAACACAAGGGGAGCAAGUUCUGAGGAGAACAUCACUGGCUACACACUACCAGGGAUACAGACUUCACAGAACUAUUUCAGCCACGUCACAAAACAAAUAGCCAAUCAAGCAAAUGGUAAGUAAUGGUAAACCUCUGACAGAUCAGAGUCUUAAACCAC